rnacentral:tRNA from 1 species
GCCUUCAUAGCUCAGUGAGCAGAUCGCUGGUCUAGUAAACCAGAGGUCGGGGAUUCGAUUCUCCCUGAAGGCA